rnacentral:rRNA from 1 species
GCUGGUUGGCGGGGUAAUGGCCCACCAAGGCAACGAUCGGUAGCCGGACUGAGAGGUUGAACGGCCACAUUGGGACUGAGACACGGCCCAGACUCCUACGGGAGGCAGCAGUGGGGAAUAUUGCACAAUGGGGGAAACCCUGAUGCAGCGACGCCGCGUGAGGGAAGACGGUCUUCGGAUUGUAAACCUCUGUCUUUGGGGAAGAAAAUGACGGUACCGUACAAGAAAGCCACGGCUAACUAC